rnacentral:rRNA from 1 species
GACGAACGCUGGCGGCGUGCCUAAUACAUGCAAGUCGAGCGGAACUUAGAAAGCUUGCUUUCUAAGUUUAGCGGCGGACGGGUGAGUAACACGUGGGCAACCUGCCUAUAAGACUGGGAUAACUUCGGGAAACCGGAGCUAAUACCGGAUAAUAUAAAAGAUCACAUGGUCUUUUAUUGAAAGAUGGCUUCGGCUAUCACUUAUAAAUGGGCCCGCGGCGCAUUAGCUAGUUGGUGAGGUAAUGGCUCACCAAGGCGACGAUGCGUAGCCGACCUGAGAGGGUGAUCGGCCACACUGGGACUGAGACACGGCCCAGACUCCUACGGGAGGCAGCAGUAGGGAAUCUUCCGCAAUGGACGAAAGUCUGACGGAGCAACGCCGCGUGAGCGAUGAAGGCCUUCGGGUCGUAAAGCUCUGUUGUUAGGGAAGAACAAGUAUCGUUCGAAUAGGGCGGUACCUUGACGGUACCUAACCAGAAAGCCACGGCUAACUACGUG